rnacentral:rRNA from 1 species
CAACGCUGGCGGCGUGCCUCAGACAUGCAAGUCGAACGAUUAAAGCUCUCUUCGGAGAGUGCAUAGAGUGGCGCACGGGUGAGUAACACGUAAGUAAUCUACCUUCGAGUGGGGAAUAACGUCCGGAAACGGGCGCUAAUACCGCAUAAUGCAGCGGCAUCGCAAGAUGACAGUUGUUAAAGGAGCAAUCCGCUUGAAGAGGAGCUUGCGGCAGAUUAGCUAGUUGGUAGGGUAAUGGCCUACCAAGGCUACGAUCUGUAACCGGUCUUAGAGGACGGUCGGUCACACUGACACUGAAUAACGGGUCAGACUCCUACGGGAGGCAGCAGUCGGGUAAUUUUGGGCAAUGGGGGAAACCCUGACCCAGCAACGCCGCGUGAAGGAUGAAGUAUUUCGGUAUGUAAACUUCGAAAGAAUAGGAAGAAUUAAUGACGGUACUAUUUAUAAGGUCCGGCUAACUACGUG